rnacentral:rRNA from 1 species
ACGGAGGGUCCAAGCGUUAUCCGGAUUUAUUGGGUUUAAAGGGUUCGUAGGCGGGCUAUUAAGUCAGUGGUGAAAGCCUUCAGCUUAACUGGAGAAUUGCCAUUGAUACUGAUAGUCUUGAGUAUACUUGAAGUUGGCGGAAUAUGUCAUGUAGCGGUGAAAUGCAUAGAUAUGACAUAGAACACCGAUUGCGAAAGCAGCUGACUAAAGUAAAACUGACGCUGAGGAACGAAAGCGUGGGGAGCGAACAGG